UACGAGGGGUGCAAGCGUUGCUCGGAAUUAUUGGGCGUAAAGGGUAGGUAGGUGGUCUCAUUUGUCCGGGGUGAAAGCCUUGAGCUUAACUCAAGAAGUGCCCCGGAAACGGUGAGACUCGAGUACUGGAGAGGGUCGUGGAAUUCCCGGUGUAGCGGUGAAAUGCGUAGAGAUCGGGAGGAACACCAGAGGCGAAGGCGGCGACCUGGACAGUUCCUGACGCUGAGGCACGAAGGCCAGGGGGAGCAAACGGG
rnacentral:rRNA from 1 species